UAUAGCGGAAGAUGAGGUAUAUCGGUAUGGCUAUAAUUACUCGUAAUGAGUGUACUAGAAAAAUGAACUUGUGAACGAACUAAACUUUUGUUGAAUGUAAUUCGACAACUUCAAGGAAAAAGUUGUUAGACUUCACUGGGAAUACUGCAUACAAGUUUGGUUUUUAACACAGUGGAAAAGACUCAGAAGAAGGCUACUAGGAUGAUUCUAGAUUACCAUGGACUAUGAAAAAAAGCUGGAAUUUUUGCGUUCUUACAUUCCUUUUCUUCAGAAGGUUAUACAUCAUCUUCAGGUUGAU